rnacentral:rRNA from 1 species
GACGAACGCUGGCGGCGUGCUUAACACAUGCAAGUCGAACGGUGAAGCGCCUUCCUUUUUGGUGGGUGUGGAUGAGUGGCGAACGGGUGAGUAACACGUGAGUAACCUGCCCCCUUCUUCUGGAUAACCGCAUGAAAGUGUGGCUAAUACGGGAUAUUCUGGGUCUGUCGCAUGAUGGGUCUGGGAAAGAUAUUGUUUCGGUGGGGGAUGGGCUCGCGGCCUAUCAGCUUGUUGGUGGGGUGAUGGCCUACCAAGGCGGUGACGGGUAGCCGGCCUGAGAGGGUGGACGGUCACACUGGGACUGAGACACGGCCAGACUCCUACGGGAGGCAGCAGUGGGGAAUAGUGCACAAUGGGCGCAAGCCUGAUGCAGCGACGCCGCGUGAGGGAUGGAGGCCUUCGGGUUGUGAACCUCUUUCGCCAGUGAAGCAGGCCUGCCUCGUUUGUGGGUGGGUUGACGGUAGCUGGAUAAGAAGCGCCGGCUAACUACGUG